ACGUCGCUGCCGUGAUCG
rnacentral:snRNA from 1 species